rnacentral:lncRNA from 1 species
UGGCCACCUCCUGGUGGUAAGUCUCGCUCCUGGAGUUCCCAUCUUGACCCUACAGCGGGACAUUUUGCCGCCACCUCUUUGUGUGUUGGGAAGAUGACGUCCUUUCUGCUCGUCCUGCUUCUCUGAUUGGGACAGUCUGGUUUGAAAGGGAGGAGGAGAAAUAAGAGAAAGCUCCGUGGUAAUAUACAAGACGAAAGGAAAAGAAAGACAAGUAAAAGGAAUGAUCUGCAACCACCUGGAUAUUGGAGCACAAUUGUGAGAACAACUGGAUCUGUGUCUCUGGAGAUCCCUUUGCUCAGCCAUCAGAUCAAGCAGGCAUCCAUGGUUCAGAAUGCAGGUGAUGACCUGGGCAAGAGCUCACCAGUAAGGAGCAAAGGGGCCCGCCUGCCACUCUUAAGCAGAGCGCCUGCUGAAUCAGGAUUUCCAAGGCUCCGGCUGAGUGCCUGGCUGGGGGCUGUGUGUGCAGAUGCCACAAGAUGGACAAGACUGAGGACGCAGAUUUCCUACAACAGCAGACUUCUGAUGCCCAGGCCUCAGUUCUGAACUCUGGAGGCUACAACCUGGCCUGCUUAUAGACGGUGGACCAAAUGAAGGUGAAGAGGAGACGGAUGAGGAAACUGAAGCAACUGUUCAAGAAGAGGAUAUAAAAAGGGACAGGCAUUGAUGAUGAUAUCAGAGCUUCUUCCUGGGGAAUCUCAGCCUCACAUGAUGGAGUAUGACUAAAGGAAAAAAAUAAGGCUCUUCACAUACUUUCUUGGCAGUCUGUGAGGGUCAGGGUUGAUUUUGUGUCCCUAAAAUGUCACAUGAAGUUCAUAGGCACUUCCAAAGGGGCAGUCUAGCAAGUUAAAGAGUAGAUGUGGGGCUGUGUGGAGUCCAUUGUUUGGGUAAUCUUUUUCAAACAGUAGGAAUAUACCAGCUUGUAAAGAUUUGCCCACUUAGCUUCAAGUCUCUCUGAACACAUUUCCCCCCGCUCUAUGAAUAGAUGAAGACAUACAAAUGGAACUCUUGAUAUUCUUAAGUGAAAAACAUGAUAUGGAAUAGCAGAUAAAUACAAACAAU